UACUGAUUUCUACACCAUUUUGAAGGCUGCUGUGCAGUUAGGCUGGAUGCCAGUGCUGCAAAAGGAGAGCCUGAAUCUUGGCAUGGCCAACCCCCAGUGGGCAGCUUCAGCAUGUGAGUGGUCACACUGUGCUCUUCCAGGGCACAGUCUGCAGAGGUUCCCAGAGGAGGAGGCUCAUGCACUGUAGUGGAGCAUUAGCAAUGUGUAAAUCCAAGUGUUUUCAUGCUGCCAGCUGAAGCCAACCUAACACGGGCUGUGUGUGCAGCAUGUAAAUAACCCCCUCAGCGCUCUGCACUGUGCUAAGGCCACCCUUACAGCAAGGGCUGGGCAGAAAAAAGAGCUGCCCUGUCAGUUUUUGUGGACUCUUUCAAUAAAAAUACGGGGGACACGGCCUCUAAGGGUGUGACAGCAACAGGAGGAAGAACUUGUAGAGGGACCAUGAUUCUGGAUGUGCUUUCCCAGCUGUCAUGGCCCUAAGGGAUGGGAGACCUCAGUGCCUUUCUGCCUGGAAUGAUAAUGCCAGCAGGAAGAUAACAAAUGAGAUGAAGCAUCCAAAAUGCCUUAUUAGCCUUUGAUGGGAUGGGAGGAGCUGCCAGCAGAAGCAAAAUAUAUACCACCUGCUUUUCAGCUGCUUUGUGUGUGGAAGUGCAGUGCUGGAGCAACGUGGAGGGAGCACAAGGUCUAGGACAGCUUUUGGGAUGCAUUACAAUGGAAGAGACCCCAAACAACUGAAGACAGAGGCUUUGUGUGUGCCCUGCCCAGGCUGACUUGCGUGUUGGCUGGGACAGCGGCACAGCACAAGCUCAGGCUGCCUCUCUCCUCUCCUUGACUGCUCUAGGACACAAAAGUGUUCCUUUGUUUAUGCUCUCCUCCACGCCUCCAUGCUGGGAAUAUACGGAUGGGAGUGUUUGGAGAUGAUUUCACACUUCACAGUGUCCUGCAGUGAGCCAGCCUUCCAGGGGUGGCUGCAGGGGUUGAAGCAGUUCCAGGAGCACUGCCCAGCGAGGAGAUGUCAGCAAGGGCUGGCACUGGAAGGCACAGUUCCCAUGCUGAUCUCUCUGCCAGCCCCUGCUGCUAAAGCCAGAUUGAGCUGGACAUGGGAGCAUCAGACUGGGCUUUUAGAGAGGAUACAUGGAGCUCUCUCUGUCCUCUGACUUCUGAUCUCCAGCCAUGGAAGGUAGAAAUACAAAUCAGUUACGCACUGCUGUUCUUUCCAGACUUAUUGGAAAUUCAUCAGUCAUGCUGUCAAAAAAAGCUUUCUUCAAGGCAAACACAGAUUCUGUGGUUUGGUUAAAAUACAGUAAGACCUACAAAUAGAGGUGAGGCUUUAAAGCUGAAGGACCUUGAGUAUCAAGGAACAUGUGACAAAUCAUAUGAAUUGCAGCAGUGAUACUUAUUACAGAUAGAGAGCUUAUUUUAUCAGAUUAGGAAUCUAAGCCUUAAACUAUUCGUGUGGUCUCAUAUUUUCUCAGCAGCUAACAAAUAUCUUCAAAAUAUGAGUUUUAUGACUGCCUGUUAUCAGAGGCUGUUUACUAUUAUAUCUAUUAUCUCUAUUGUGUUUAAUGGAUUAAAAAGGGGUGGACCUUAACUCAUUCCUAUUAAGUGAAUUGGUGAAACUGCUCAGAUAUAAAGGGGCUGCUCCUCUGUCUUGGCUCCUUAAACCCUGCACUAGAAGUGUAUUUUCUCACACAGAUCUCAUCAGCCAUAUGGCUCCUGUCCUCCAACUCUGUGGACUGCUCAGUCCUUGGAAAAUCUAUCAUUUCUUAGAGUAAGCAAUUUAAUAAUUUUAGUCACAUGUUAUGCUCUUGAAUAGGGCAUGCAAUGGAUUUAAUUUAACAGUAAGGUGUUCAUAAGGAAAUAUUCAGCAAUAAAGCAUUGCAGGAGUUGUCAGAGCCAAAUAAAAGGAAUAAAUGCAAGUUUGCUCAUAUAUAUGUAGCUGAGUGUUUUAGUUCAGCCUAUUCUGUAUCUAUAGAGAGUGUCUCAAAUUAGAUUCUUUCCCAGAGCACACUCAUGGUUCUGCUAUGUCUACUUUUCAUCACUUCAGCACAUGGCAGGACAGAUCUGACAGGACUGUCUUCAAACUGGUCUUUAUUCAGAAGAGAUUGCAGAAAUCAUGACGGAAACCCACUUGAAAACUCCUUCUACUGCAGACGUUGCCAUCCCAUGGGAAGGAAAGUAUGUCAGGAAUUCUUCUCCCAUCUCAUGUGAUUAUGGGACAAGCCUCUAAAUGCAUGUCUCACCAACCCUAACUUGAGGGUACACUGCAACCAUUAGUUGUGCCAAACAUGAUGCCUCAGGAAGGCUGACCUGGAAAAGAGACUGGACAGAGCUGGAGAGUAAAGCAGCUAUUUAUUGAAAGGCCUCUAGGAUUACACCUUGGGCUGGACAAGAGCCUGACCAUGGCUACACCCAAGGUGGACUAAGAAUGGUCAUAAAAUGGACAAAUGGUCAGGAGGUCUCACGCUUUUAUAAGUUUUGGUCCAUUUGCAUAUUGGGGUUUAAUUGCCCAAUUACAGCUUUGGGUUGUGAGGUCUCAUCCUUCUUGUUUUCUCUCUUCAGCCCAUUGUUGUUUGUGCUUUUGGGCCUGAAAACUUGUAGCCAUUGUCCUUGGUCUUCAUCAGGAAAAGGAUUUGUUUUGUCUCCCUGCUCUGUGCAUAGAGCUGAGUGACCCUGGAUGUGAGGCUCAGAACUGCACCCCUGGGCAUCACAGAAUUGAAAAACAUGAAAGCUACAACUUAAGGCAUCAGACAUGCAACAUCAAAAAGGUCCUGCUGCAUUGCCCAGCAUUUACUGCAAUCGCUGCAUCUGUACCUGACUGCAGGAUUUCCCAGGGCACAGCCUGGGAACAGCACUGUAAGCCAAGUGGCAACGAACACUUACAGGGAAGUAAAUUUGAAGGUCCAGUGCAAGAGCCCAACAGGUGGUUACUGAGUGUGAACACCUUUGUGCCUGGCACCAGCUGGGUCUGCUCAGCGUCUUCUGCUGAGAACAAAAGCCAGAUUCUGCUGAUGCCCUUAUGGGACACACUGGAUGAAGACUGAAGAGAAUGAGCAGAUGCCAACGUUUACUGUACACUGAACUUGACAAAUGUGCAAAUUCUGUGGUUGCUGAGGUUCAGGGGACUCAGACUGUGGUUUGUCUUAGGAGGGCCCUCGUAACCAGAGCUCUCCCAAAGGCGUGCGUGUAAAGGAGUGGAUCUGCCCAUCAUAUCCAUGGUUUUGGCCAGGCUGCCCUGAGUUAAUCAGCAAACCUGGAUACCAGAACUGCACGGGAAAAGCUCUGUAACCGCUGCCACUGGGCUCUCAUCCAUUCCCUUCUCUGCACUCUGAUAUUCCCUGGAUUAACUUGGCCAAUUCAGACAAGAGCCAGCCACCUUCUGCCUGGAAUCCAGCCCUGCCCUUGCCCAGCCCCCUCCCUUCUCCACCAGCCAGGCUCCCUGGCUCCUUUACCCCUGUCACCAGGAAAGCAGGAGCGCUUUCCCAACAUCCCACAGCCAUUAGACAGAGCAGCCCUGAGCCUUGGUGCCUUCCAGAGCACCAUUUUUGUUCCUGCCCACAGCUGCAGGAGGUGGGCAGUGUUUGGAGACAAAUCACAGCAUCUUGUGCCAAAUGCCUCAAUACCCAUCAGGAUUUCCCACUGCCCAUCCCAGUCCACAGGGCUACCAGAGGGGCACAUCUUCCUUAGCAUUACAUCAGUCUUCAACUGUGCAUGAAUUAUACAGGACAGGGUUCUCACAACUGAAUUAAGGAUUAUUUUAUAGGCUAAGAAACUGAAAUAUCUAUGAAAUAUAUAUAUAGUUUUUAAUGCCAAAUGCUUUAAUACUGAUGAGAAUGCCUUCUUUGAUGGAGGAUUUUAGCUAUAUGAUCACUACUAAAGCAUUCAAAGCAGCAGCUCCUGGGAAGAGUAAUUGACAGGGCUUGUUGUAAGGAAUUUUAGCUAAGUAGAAUAAGAGAUAAUGGCAUGUGGUUAAGCUAUUUAGGCAGGAUAUCAGAAGACAAUUCAAAGUGAGAUCUAUUAGACAAUGAAAAUAUUGUCCAAGGCAAGCGAUAAAAGCCACAUCACUUAAAAUAUUUAAAGCUGGUUUGUUUAAAGCUCUAGAGAGGAUAAUUAUAUUGAGUCAACCUCCAUUCACAGGGAAUAGAAUCUGUUUCUAUUCACGAGUAUGCAAUAAAUUACUUAACUGGCCAUUGUAGCCUCUAACUGUGGUGACUCUAUGGGUUUUCUUCUCUUAGGGGGAUGCUGUUUCACUCUAUACAUUUGUUUUCAGAGAGGAAAACAAUUACAAAAAGGAAUGAAUCUACAUUCUUAGUCCCCAGAUCGCUGCUGUACUCCAGUGUACAUACAUGCAGUGGUGCAGUAAGGCUGAAAAAUUAGUAAAAUAAACUAUUCCAGAGUGUCACAGGUCUGCUGGAUCCUGUACUCCCCACCAAAAUUAUCACUAUGAAGCCAAAAGUAUUAAUCACAUGCAACUGAAUUUCUACCUCACCUUCAGAUUUCUCUGAAACAUAAACAGCUCCUCCAUAGGUGGGUUUAUAAAAUCCUGUUUUGCAGUAUCUGAGGGAUUAUCUUUGGUACAUUCUCCUUCAGCACAUUUAAUCAACUCAUGUGAAAGUGCUUGUUUCUUUUCCAUCAUUUUGAAUAUCAGUUCUACUUAGGGAUGAUUACAACUUAGUCCCUGUGAAAUUAUUACACUGAUGGAGGAUGUUCACUAAAGGGGUUUUUAAGUUUUCAGCGCUGAGCCCCACCUAGACGUGCUCAGAUGGUUUUGCAAUUGUUCCUUGGAGGAAAUCUGUAAGGACAUUCAUUAGUGGGGCACUGGUGGGUUCCUGUCUGAGAACAAUGACAAUUUUAAUUGCAGAACAGGAACUGUUUGAUUCUUCAGACAAUCCUGGUACUGAGGGCUCGUAUCCAAAUGGAAGGUUUCAACGCAGAUGUCUGUUAAUAAAAUAUUUCCUACUUAACUUUGAUAUGGAAAUAAACCAGCCAGUCUGAUUAAAUCCCUGAAAAUCCUUAGGGCAAAAAGCAAAACAAAACAACCCUCCCAACCCUCAGUUUUAACAGUACAUCAGAGUUACAUCAGGGUUUCAACCGUAAGGAAAUUUUCCAAUAGAUUUAAAUGCCACCAAGAAAGAGGAUCAACAUUUGCUACGGUGUGAUCAAAUGUUCUCAGCAUGAUGUGAAACCGUCCAUAUAAAUGUCUGAUCUUUAUAAUUUAAUUUAUAUAUUCAUAAUUCUAGAAAGACUUAUGUUCAUAUUUAACUAAACCCUAGCAGCAAUCCACUGAUCAUAAUGAGAUU